rnacentral:lncRNA from 1 species
AGAAUCUGAAUUUUACAGGGAAAAUACCAUCUCUUUGUUGUUUGUGAUCAAAUAAUAAUAGCGAUUCUUGGAAUGUGAGAAUAAGCAACAAUUGAUUUCCUAAUUUUGCUUAAACAACAUGGAAUUUCUAAUAUUACCUUCAACAAGAUAAGUUAAGAUGGUUUCCAAUAUCCAUUUUGUCCCAUGAGUUUGAUGUUGUUUGGAAGUUUGUCUAAAUUCUUCAAAACUUCAUCAACUUAUACUGAUGUGAAAUUUCCUUACUCUUAAUUCUGGCUUGGAAGGGUACCAUAUCAAUGUGGAUGGAAAACAUAUGACCUCAUUUCCAUACCACCCUGUAAGUUACAACUAUUGAGGAUCUAUGGUCUUGUGAUAUAUGGGACUUGCUCUAGUGUUCAAAUAAUGUUAUAGGGAUUCACACUUCAAGAUUCCACUGGUUUAUCUUUUAUGGGAGACAUUAAUGUCCACUCUUGUUUUCGCUGCUUCCUUGUCCACACCACACCCCAAUUUUGCACCUCAACAGAAUCUUCAUUGGUCUAACAGAUGGAAGGCUCCACCUAUUCUAGAAAGGGCUGUUAAACUGAUCCUUGGUAUUCUUUCAACGGGCAACAACUUUGCUGAACGUAUGGCUAUCAAGAAGUCUUGGAUGCAGUACAAGCUAAUAAAAUCUUCAAAUACUAUUGCUUAUUUCUUUGUUGCGCUGAUAGGUGAACCAAUUAAUAGCAUGCAUGCCACAAAUGUAACCUCUUUUAAUUCUUUUGUUGAAAGCUUCUGAAAUUUAUUCAAAAGAAUUUCUUUUGACAGCAUGCAAGAAAUGAAGUGAGUAUGGUGUUAAAUAAAGAAAUUGACUUUUUCAGAGACAUUGUGAUAGCACCAUACAUGCAUAACUAUGACUAAAGAAAAUUGCAAUAUGUAAAUAUGGGGUUAGUUGUGGAUUCAUUGAUAAAUUAAGGGUUGAUAUUAUGUUUGUACUCGAUUGAUUUUAUUUUGUACUUUAGCAGUUUAGAAGAGCUUUUGCAAAGUAUAUCACGAAAAUUGAUGACACAAGAAACAACUUGAGACCAAGAGCUUGUACAUUGGUUUUCUAAAUUAUUACCUUAAGCCUAUGCAAGGUUGUCAAUGGACAGUGACGUAUGAGGUACUAUUACAAACUUUUGACUUUUCAAUCUUUACAGUUGAUUUACUUGUUUUAUUUGUCGGUAUACAUCUUAUGUGCCUUGUGGUCAAUGCCAUUGCAAUUUAGGGUACUAAUUUAUUACUUGAGCACGAUGGUCUAUAAACCCUAAAUAUUGUUUCAUUUUAAUAUUCUUAUUCAUAUUUACUAACCCAUUCCAUUAGUUAACUCAAUGGUGAUAUUGAGUCCAAUUUUAAUACAUUUUAAUAAAGAGUCAAUCUCCUACAAAGCUUUGUGUAUUUAUCAUACUAUUGAAUCCCACUUGAUGCCAUUAGCAUAAUUAAUGGCAUCGAGUAGACUUGUGUGCAACUUGUGUUGUUUGCAAAACCAACAAGGGAAACUUAGUUUGCAGGAGUCCGGCAAAACUAUCGGGGAAAAGGAUUUUUUCAUUUUCUUACUAUUUUAUAUCCCCUCUUCAAGUACUUUAUGAUUUUGAUAGAGAUUUUUGCACUUCUAUAAUAAAAUGAUCCUGCAAAUUCAAAUUCUUUAGCAUUAGUUGCCUUAUAUAAACAUCAUUUAAAGAUAUCUUUUAGUGUCAUUUAUUUAGACUUUCUGUUGACCAUUGUGAACUCUAUUGUGAUUGAACUGGUCAACUAGAGCCUAUAUGGGAACUUGGAAUAUUUUUGAGAAAUGGAGCAAAUAAUAUGACUACUAUAUUUAGGAGCAAAAGGUUUUGCAUUGGAGUUUUUUUUUUGCCAUACUAGGAGUAACUCUUUUGACUAAAUAUAAAGUUAAAUGUCGUUAUUAUGUAGUUAUUCUUUUGGUCUUGGAAACACAUUAAGAGGAUGUUUGUCUAUGCCUAAAGAAAAACAAUUUUUUGGCUCAAGCAUGUUUGACUCAUUAUUUAUUUUGGGAGUGUGGCUCAUUAUUAUUUCAGGUUUGGAAUUUGUUUGGUACCGUUCAUUGUUAUAAAAGAAAAAGAAAUAGAGGAAGCCAUUUGCCAUAAUCUGCUAGGUAAUUCAAAAAUAAAGUCCACGGUAGCUACUUGGUCUUCUUCCUUCAAAUAUAUACUUACAAAUAACUCAGCCAAAGUAAUAGGAAUUAGUAAUUAAGCAAGGGUCCAAACGAUGCGCAGAAAUUGUAAUCACCGAAUGUAAUCACAGUGAAGAGUGAUAUUCUUCAGUCUUGAAAUCCUAUAGGUAACACAUGAGUAGUCAGUGUAGAGCGUGUGAGUUCUAACAAAAAGCUUGCUUAUUUGAGUAUCACUUUGACAUCCUUUUUCUUUAGAGCGAGGAAGAUUAAAAUGGAUGGUGCACAUCGUAGCAGUGGCCACCAAAGCACCAGAGGAGAAAAGCUCUGGUAAGAUUAGCAUUCUUCUUCGUAUGCUUAUAUGGGCUGAUCUCAGUAUUUUGUGUGAAAAUGUUGUCUGCUUCUAGACAGAAGCAUAAAGUUUAGAAACACUUGAACACACUAAAUAAACCUCCAGUCAAAAUCAUUCGGAUCUCUCCCUCUCUCUGUAUAUUUAUUUGUAUGUAUACAUAAAUUAUUGAAUUUCAUAUGGUCUUUUUUUCGAUUUAUCCUUAUUCUUUGUUAUGAUUUUGUGAAUAUCAUGUUAAGAAUAAGAAGAUUUUGUGUUUAUUUUUUAGGUUUUUGAGCGACAA